rnacentral:rRNA from 1 species
AUUGAACGCUGGCGGCAUGCUUUACACAUGCAAGUCGAACGGCAGCGGGGGCUUCGGCCUGCCGGCGAGUGGCGAACGGGUGAGUAAUGCAUCGGAACGUGCCCAUGUCGUGGGGGAUAACGUAUCGAAAGGUACGCUAAUACCGCAUACGUCCUGAGGGAGGAAGCGGGGGAUUCUUCGGAACCUCGCGCGAUUGGAGCGGCCGAUGUUGGAUUAGCUAGUAGGUGAGGUAAAGGCUCACCUAGGCGACGAUCCGUAGCGGGUCUGAGAGGAUGAUCCGCCACACUGGGACUGAGACACGGCCCCGACUCCUACGGGAGGUAGCAGUGGUGAAUUUUGGACAAUGGGCGCAAGCCUGAUCCAGCCAUGCCGCGUGAGUGAAGAAGGCCUUCGGGUUGUAAAGCUCUUUCGGCCGGGAAGAAAUCGUGUUCUCUAACAUAGGACAUGGAUGACGGUACCGGACUAAGAAGCACCGGCUAACUACGUGCCAGCCGCCGCAGUAACAC